rnacentral:rRNA from 1 species
CUGCGGCAGCGACACUCAGGUGUUGUUGGGUAGGGGAGCGUUCUGUAAGCCUGCGAAGGUGGCCUGUGAGGGUUGCUGGAGGUAUCAGAAGUGCGAAUGCUGACAUAAGUAACGAUAAAGCGGGUGAAAAGCCCGCUCGCCGGAAGACCAAGGGUUCCUGUCCAACGUUAAUCGGGGCAGGGUGAGUCGACCCCUAAGGCGAGGCCGAAAGGCGUAGUCGAUGGGAAACGGGUUAAUAUUCCCGUACUUGGUGUUACUGCGAAGGGGGGACGGAGAAGGCUAUGUUGGCCGGGCGACGGUUGUCCCGGUUUAAGCGUGUAGGUGUGUGUUCCAGGUAAAUCCGGUUCACUUUAACACUGAGGCGUGACGACGAGGCACUACGGUGCUGAAGCAACAAAUGCCCUGCUUCCAGGAAAAGCCUCUAAGCAUCAGGUAACAUCAAAUCGUACCCCAAACCGACACAGGUGGUCAGGUAGAGAAUACCAAGGCGCUUGAGAGAACUCGGGUGAAGGAACUAGGCAAAAUGGUGCCGUAACUUCGGGAGAAGGCACGCUGACAUGUAGGUGAAGUGAUUUACUCAUGGAGCUGAAGUCAGUCGAAGAUACCAGCUGGCUGCAACUGUUUAUUAAAAACACAGCACUGUGCAAACACGAAAGUGGACGUAUACGGUGUGACGCCUGCCCGGUGCCGGAAGGUUAAUUGAUGGGGUCAGCGCAAGCGAAGCUCCUGAUCGAAGCCCCGGUAAACGGCGGCCGUAACUAUAACGGUCCUAAGGUAGCGAAAUUCCUUGUCGGGUAAGUUCCGACCUGCACGAAUGGCGUAAUGAUGGCCAGGCUGUCUCCACCCGAGACUCAGUGAAAUUGAACUCGCUGUGAAGAUGCAGUGUACCCGCGGCAAGACGGAAAGACCCCGUGAACCUUUACUAUAGCUUGACACUGAACAUUGAGCCUUGAUGUGUAGGAUAGGUGGGAGGCUUUGAAGUGUGGACGCCAGUCUGCAUGGAGCCGACCUUGAAAUACCACCCUUUAAUGUUUGAUGUUCUAACGUGGACCCGUGAUCCGGGUUGCGGACAGUGUCUGGUGGGUAGUUUGACUGGGGCGGUCUCCUCCUAAAGAGUAACGGAGGAGCACGAAGGUUGGCUAAUCCUGGUCGGACAUCAGGAGGUUAGUGCAAUGGCAUAAGCCAGCUUGACUGCGAGCGUGACGGCGCGAGCAGGUGCGAAAGCAGGUCAUAGUGAUCCGGUGGUUCUGAAUGGAAGGGCCAUCGCUCAACGGAUAAAAGGUACUCCGGGGAUAACAGGCUGAUACCGCCCAAGAGUUCAUAUCGACGGCGGUGUUUGGCACCUCGAUGUCGGCUCAUCACAUCCUGGGGCUGAAGUAGGUCCCAAGGGUAUGGCUGUUCGCCAUUUAAAGUGGUACGCGAGCUGGGUUUAGAACGUCGUGAGACAGUUCGGUCCCUAUCUGCCGUGGGCGCUGGAGAACUGAGGGGGGCUGCUCCUAGUACGAGAGGACCGGAGUGGACGCAUCACUGGUGUUCGGGUUGUCAUGCCAAUGGCACUGCCCGGUAGCUAAAUGCGGAAGAGAUAAGUGCUGAAAGCAUCUAAGCACGAAACUUGCCCCGA